rnacentral:rRNA from 1 species
GACGAACGCUGGCGGUGUGCUUAACACAUGCAAGUCGAACGGUAAGGCCCUUUCGGGGGUACACGAGUGGCGCACGGGUGAGUAACACGUGAGUAACCUGCCCUCAUCUCUGGGAUAACAGUCGGAAACGGUUGCUAAUACUGGAUAUGAGCUUGCAAGGCAUCUUGUGGGUUGGAAAGAUUUUUUUUGGUUGGGGAUGGACUCGCGGCCUAUCAGCUUGUUGGUGAGGUAGUGGCUCACCAAGGCUUCGACGGGUAGCCGGCCUGAGAGGGCGACCGGCGACAUUGGGACUGAGAUACGGCACAAACUCCUACGGGAGGCAGCAGUGGGGAAUAUUGCACAAUGGACGGAAGUCUGAUGCAGCAACGCCGCGUGCGGGAUGACGGCCUUCGGGUUGUAAACCGCUUUCAAUUGUGACGAAGCUUUUUUGUGACGGUAGCAGUAGAAGAAGCACCGGCUAACUACGUG